UGCCAGCCGCCGCGGUAAUACGGAGGGUGCAAGCGUUAAUCGGAAUUACUGGGCGUAAAGCGUGCGUAGGCGGCGCAUUAAGUCGGAUGUGAAAGCCCUGGGCUUAACCUGGGAAUGGCAUUCGAUACUGGUGGGCUAGAGUCUGAUAGAGGGUAGCGGAAUUCCGGGUGUAGCGGUGAAAUGCGUAGAGAUCCGGAGGAACAUCUGUGGCGAAGGCAGAUUUCUAUGACAUAACUGACGCUGAGGCACGAAAGCGUGGGGAGCAAACAGGAUUAGAUA
rnacentral:rRNA from 1 species